rnacentral:lncRNA from 1 species
GAGAAUUGAAAUUGGUGAUUUCAAUUUCCAAUGAAUUGAUUACACGCAUUUCCAAAAAAAACUUACUUUUUUAAGUCUUUAAAGAGUUCCCGGGGAUAUAGAGAUGGCUUAACAAGAAUCAACAGUAUGAAAGCAUAAAUGCCUGCACUUGUUCGUUUUACUUUCCUUCUGCUAACAAAACUUCGUUUUGGCUUGUAGGGAGUGUCUCUCAUGGACAGUAACUUCCCUACCGCAGUUGCACCCGUCGUAUGGCCAGAAAUCCCACACAAUGGAAACAGACAGCAAUUUCACCCCUAAUUUCAUGACCCCAGAAAUUAGCCUUGAUUUGAGCAGGCCCAACAUUCAGCAGGAUUUCAGAGUAAGUUGGAAAACCUGGAUUUUAUUCAGCCAGCAGGCUAGCAAGGAAGAAGAAUUCUAAUGCUAUUUUCAUAUAAUAUAUUAAUUAAUAUCAGUGUGUAUACUAACUAUGAUGUUCAUGGUAGAAUCCCUUUCCUAUGAAAAAGCUACUAAAUUACACUUUUAAAUAGGUCAAUGAAAUUAUAAAUAUUUCCAAAAUCCAUAAUUCUAGUAAUUUGUCAUGUUGAUCCUUAUAUUGC